CCCUAUUCUUGUAUGCCUUUCUCUUUGUACAUGCUGAUCUAAAUAAAAACCGUGUGGCAGUUCAUUGCUUCUCUUUUCCAUCAAAAAAAAAUAAUAAUUGUAAUCCUUCCUGUCCUUCCAUCCAUAACAGUUUCUCUUAAUUGCUUUUAAUCCUCCAAUAAAUUAAUCAGGGGUAGCUUUCUACUAUCUCCUAUUUCAGUCAAAAAGAUAGAGACAUAGGCAUGCUU
rnacentral:lncRNA from 1 species